rnacentral:lncRNA from 1 species
CUAAAUGUAAAGUAACUGAUGUACUUGUGAAGACGAGACUAAAGUCCCACUAGCCACCACAGAAGUACAGUAUCAAAUUAAUUAUAAUUUUUAUUUUCUGCCGUCAAAAUCACUCUGGUUCGACGCAAUUGGAUUGCAAAGUUAUGUUAUAGUGUGUAUUCGUGGCACCCAGUGUUAAUUUAGUGAGGGAAGAAAAACGGUUUUAUUUUGUAAUAAGAAUUCUUUACAGGGCUUGGAAAUUGGGAAGAUAUACUUCGACUCAAGGACAAUGACCCAACACACCUCAAGGCUGUGUAAGGGCUAUUUGACCAAGAAGGAGAGUGAUUGAGUGCUGCAUCAGAUGACCUGGCCUACACAAUCACCCAACCUCAACCAUAUUGAGAUGGUUUGGGAUGAGUUGAACCACAGAGUGAAGGAAAAGCAGCCAACAAGUGCUCAGCAUAUGUGGUAACUCUUUCAAGACCGUUGGAAAAGCAUUACAGGAGGGGUGCAUCACUUGAGUGGGUUGAGUGACUGACGUGAUCUUCCUGUCCGGUUUGGCGCCCCCCUCGAGUUCGUGCCGUGGGGGAGAUCGGCGUGGGCUAUUCUCGGCCUUGUCUCAGGGUAGUAAGUUGGUGGUUUGAAGAUAUCUCUCUACUGGUGUGGGGGCUGUGCUUUGGCAAAGUGGGUGGGGUUAUUAUAUCCUGCCUGGUUUGCCCUGUCCGGGUAUAUUGUUGGACGGGUCCACAGUGUCUCCCGACCCCUCUUGUCUCAGCCGCCAGUAUUUCUGCUGCAAUAGUUUGUGACGGGGGGCUAGGAUCAGUCUGUUAUAUCAGGAGAACUUCUCCUGUCUUAUUCGGUGUCCUGUGUGAAUUUAAGUAUGCUCCCUCUCACUCUCUUUCUCUCUCUUUCUCUCUUUUCUCUCUUCUCUCGGAGGACCUGAGCCCUAGGACCAUGCCUCAAGACUACCUGGCCUGAUGACUCCUUGCUGUCCCCAGUCCACCUGCUGUCCCUAGUCCACCCCAGACCAUCUGCUGCUACUCCAGUUUCAACUGUUCUGCCUGCGGCUAUGAAACCCUGACCUAUUCACCGGACAUGCUAUCUUGUCCCUGACCUGCUGUUUUCAACUCUCUCUCUCUACCGCGCCUGCUGUCUCUAACUCUAAAUGAUUGCCUAUGAAAAGCCAACUGACAUUUACUCCUGAGGUGCUGACCAGUUUCACCCUCUACAACCACUGUUAUUUUUUGACACUGCUGGCCAUCUUUGAGUGUUUGAACAUCUUGGCCAUGUACUGUUAUAAUCUCCACCCGGCACAGCCAGGAGAGGACUGGCCACCCCUCAGAGCCUGGUUCCUCUCUAGGUUUCUUCCUAGGUUCCAGCCUUUCUAGGGAGUUUUUCCUAGCCACCGUGCUUCUACAUCUGCAUUGCUUGCUGUUUGGGGUUUUAGGCUGGGUUUCUGUAUAGCACUUUGUGACAUCGGCUGAUGUAAAAAGGGCUUUAUUAAUACAUUUGAUUGAUUGAUUGAUGUAGAUAUUCCAUAAAAAAUCUGCCGUUUCCAGCUACAAUGGUC